rnacentral:rRNA from 1 species
AGAGUUUGAUCAUGGCUCAGGACGAACGCUGGCGGCGUGGAUUAGGCAUGCAAGUCGAACGGUAUGGUGCUUUCGGGCAUCAGAGAGUGGCGAACGGGUGAGUAACACGUAGGUGAUCUACCCUCAAGACGGGGACAACCCAGGGAAACUUGGGCUAAUACCGGAUGAUAGCAGCAGUGAUGUUGUUUAAAAGAUGGCUUUCGGGCUGUCGUUUGGGGAUGAGCCUGCGUCCUAUUAGCUAGUUGGUGUGGUAAAGGCACACCAAGGCGAUGAUAGGUAGGCGGCCUUAACGGGUGGUCGCCCACACUGGGAUUGAGAUACGGCCCAGACUCCUACGGGAGGCAGCAGUCGAGAAUAGUCUACAAUGGUCGGAAGACUGAUAGUGCGACGCCGCGUGAACGAGGAAGCCCUUCGGGGUGUAAAGUUCUUUUAUAUGUGAGCAGUGGGUUCUACGUUAAUAGCGUGGGAUCAGGGAUAUUAGCAUAUGAAUAAGCAACGGCUAACUCCGUGCCAGCAGCCGCGGUAACACGGGGGUUGCGAGCGUUGUCCGGAAUUACUAGGCGUAAAGGGCAGGUAGGCGGAUCUAUAAGUUUUUUGUCAAAUUCAACGGCUCACCCGUUGCUCGGCAGGAGAUACUGUAGAUCUGGAAUGCGGUUGGGGAAGACAGAAUUCCUGGUGUAGCGGUGGAAUGCGCAGAGAUCAGGAGGAAUACCUAAGGCGAAGGCAGUCUUCUAAGCCGUAAUUGACGCUAAACUGCGAAGGUGUGGGUAUCAAACAGGAUUAGAUACCCUGGUAGUCCACACAGUAAACGAUAAUCACUGGGUGUCGGGUUCGUAGAGGAUUCGGUGCCGUAGCUAACGCGAUAAGUGAUUCGCCUGGGGAGUACGAUCGCAAGGUUGAAACUCAAAGGAAUUGACGG